UACGGAGGGUGCGAGCGUUGUCCGGAAUCACUGGGCGUAAAGGGCGCGUAGGUGGCUUCUCAAGCGCGCGGUGAAAGCCCGGGGCUCAACCCCGGGUCGGCCGUGCGGACUGGGAGGCUCGAGCACUGUAGGGGCGGGUGGAAUUCCGGGUGUAGCGGUGGAAUGCGUAGAGAUCCGGAAGAACACCGGAGGCGAAGGCGGCUCACUGGGCCGGAUCCGACACUGAGGCGCGAAAGCGUGGGGAGCAAACAGG
rnacentral:rRNA from 1 species